GGUUUUAUGGUGUAAUUGGUAGCACGCAUGGCUAAGAAGAACACGCCAUGAGAUUCAGGUUCAAGUCCUGAUGAAGCCC